ensembl:lncRNA LINC02882 long intergenic non-protein coding RNA 2882
CACUUAGAAAAUCUGUCAAGUCCAUGUGUUAUAAAAUGCAUGGAGCAAUGGGACUCUUUAUAUGCAACUGGUUUGUGUGUACAUUUUUACAAUCAUUUUGAAUACUCUGGUAUUAUCUGCUGAAAUUGAAAGUAUCCAUACCCGAUAAACAAACAAUUCCAGCCUUGAGUGAAUUGCCCAUAGGAGCAUAUCAGGACCCAUGCAUAGAGAUGCUUGUAGCAGGAUUAUUAAUAAUUGUCCCAAAUUAAAAAUAACAAUAUUUAUUUACAAUAGGAUGGAUACACUUCUAUAUAUUUAUAAAAUGGAAGGCUUUACAGUGAAGAAGUUAAUCAAACCAAAGCUAAAUUCAACACCAUGGAUUCAUUUUUUAAAAAAAUAUUGAGCCAAAGAAGCACACUAAAAAAAUGUAUUUAGUAUGAUGUUUUUUGAUUAAAAAUACAUAAAGAGGAAAAACUCUGCUCUAUUAUGAUGCACAUAUGGGAGGUAAAACUAUAAAGGAAAUUACAAAAGUGAAUACAAUAAGAGUCAAGACAAUGUUAACCUCAAGGGGUUAGGAAGGAAAUGUGAUUAUGAAGGGAUAUAGGGUUGAUGGGAAUGUUUUCUAACUUAACCUGGAUGUUGGUUGCAUAAAUGGUCAAUGCAUGAUUUUCCAUUUUAAUGUACAUUUAUGUAAUGUUGACAUCUCUGACAUAUUUCAUAAUAAAUAUUUUUAAAGGUACCAGCAACUCAUAUACCUGAUAAACUGAAUGCAAAUACUAUGAAUGAGCAUUAGCAUUGCUUAGCUAAUAAACAAAAGUUCAAGGAGCAAAAAAGCUCAAUUUUGUGCCAUUGUAACAACUGCAAAUAAGGAGUAUGUAAUGAAUCAGAUUUUAUUGUUAAACCAGAAACAUUCUUAUGCUAAAAUCAGCUUAACAUAAACAAAAGUUGAUUCAGUUUGUUCAAGACUUCAGAGGGAAAGCAUAAAGUGACAAAAUUGUUUUCACUAUAAAUAGGUUAAGUAAAGAUUGUGGGGUUUUGUUGUUGCUGUUGUUUUUGUUGUUGUUUUGAGAUGGAGUUUCGCUCUUGUUGCCCAGGAUGGAGUGAUGGAGUGCAGGGGCGUGACCUCAGCUCACUGCAACCUUCACCUCCCAGGUUCAAGUGAUUCUCCUGCCUCUGCCUCCCGAAUAGCUGGGAUUACAGGUAUGCACUACUACACUGGGCUAAGUUUUGUAUUUUCAGUAGAGAUGGGGUUUCACCACUUGGCCAGGCUGGUCUCGAACUUCUGACCUCAAGCAAUCCUCCCGCCUUAGGCUCCCAAAGUGGUGGGAUUACAGGCCUGAACCACAGGGCCCAGCCUUGGCUUGUGGUUCUUUUACUAAAUAUGGAAUAGCGAUAAAGCUUAUGUAUCAUAUUUGUAAAAGAAAGCUAGGCACAUGAAGCAGAAUUAAUUCAUGAGGGAAAAUAUUUAUUUUACUCUCAAGUCUCCCGAAAGUUAUUGUAUUCAUUUAAACUCAAUUUCUAAUUUUUUUAGUUACCCAAAUACUAUUGCAUUAAAUGCAUUAAAGAGAGCAUUGUACCUAGCAGAUAUGUGAGAAACAGUUUGACUUUUUAACCACUAAAAAAUGUCCAAAUAUCAGAAUUUAUUUUAUUUUAAAUUUCAAAAAAAUCCUUAUUUUAUAUGAUAAAAAUCAAGUUGAUUUGUAAGUCAUAUAUAUCAGCUUAUUAUCAAGAACUAUUGCUAUGUAAAAGAACUUAGGACUGUGUAAUUAGAACUAUGUAAUAGAAAUAUUUACAGAAGACUAUAUCUGCCAACAUGAGAUACUCUACCACCAUAACUUAUAUCAAUGACUCUUGUUCUAUCAUCGUGUGCAUUAUAAAUAGUGCAAAAUUUCAAGAAAUUUCCAUUUUGAGAUAUAAGAAAUCAAUAUGCUGGGAAAACUAAUAUCAAACUCUGAAGUAGAUAUAUUUCAUUUUAUAUAUAUUUUAAAUGACCUUUAACUAAAGGUUAAAUUGGAUUGACACACUGAAGAUAAAUUUUUUUAUUAUUAUCAUCAUUAAAUUAUUAUUUUGUGACUAUUACUAUUCAACUAACACUACAUCUGAUAAUAUAAUGAUAAACACAUUCCUUUUUUAUAUUAACUAGCAUUUUUUUCGAGUUUCUUAAAGCUUUGUUUGCAACUCUGGAUGAUUUAUGUGGGACAUGAUAAAACCAAUCUCCACACAGGCUAAUUUGAGACCUGGCAUCAUUGUCUCUCUCUGAACAAUCUGGAAGCUUUUUUAUGGUAGUGAAUUGCUCAUUUGGGGUGCGAGGAUUGAAGCAGGCAAGUGUCUGGGUCAUUAUGUGCUCAGCCAUGUCUUACAUAGGUGUUUGGAUUUGUAUAGCACUGGUUAAUCUGUAAUGUGUUUUAAUUUAGAGACAUAAAUUCUGGCCAGAAUUCUAUGCUUUAAUUAAAUAGUGUCAAGGGAUUGAUCGCAGCAUAUUGAUCCAUAACUGAACAUUUUAUCCAUGAAGUCACAGGUCCAGUGAGUCAUCAUUGCCUAGAAUACCCUACUUCAAACAAUGAAACUCACUUUCAAUCUAUCAUCAUCUUUCACUCUUCAGUGAAACCCCAUGUAGCUUCCAGAUGUGGUUUCAGGAUUUCUCUAUAUUGUUGGAGAGCAUUUAGGGCUCAAGAGAAAUCAUUGCUGCUUUAGCGCCUGGAGAAGAGCUACAGCUCAGGUGUUCAAUAGAAGAGAUGCACACAGGCAUCUAUGUUGUCAGCAAGCUAGCACUAUCAAAGCAUCUGGAGACAACAAUAGGAGUCAAGGAUACCAUCUCUAGCACAGAUCCCCGAACAAGAACCUGAGACCUGCCGAACAGCAGGUGCCAAAGAUGCUGCUGUAACACCACAGCCCUCCCAUCUUCCAUCCUCCACUGGCGCUGAGUGGCAGUCCCAUGUGACAGGAAGUGGAGGCAGAGCUGGGCCAGCCCAGGAGCCACGUGCUGGAGCCAGAUACUCUGUUUUUCUACAAAUGGAAAGUUUGUGGCAUCCUUGACUCAAGCAAAUUUUUCAGCACCAUUUUUCAAGAGCGUGUGCUCACUUCACCUCUCUGUAUCGUGUUUUGAUGCUUGUCCUGGAAACCAACCAUGAGCUGUGAUGAAAUCCAGGCAACUGAGUUGUGUUUCAGCCCAAAGCAGCAAAUGGAAUCCAGCUUCAGGACCAUCAUCUGACAUAGGGGAAGAAGACUUACAUAGAAGGCCUAACCAGCACCCAAGAUCAUGCUCAUAGGUGGAGGAGACUUGCUUUGUCUCAGAUGAGACUUUGGACUGUGGACUUUUGAGUUAAUGCUGAAAUGAGUUGAGACUUUGGGGAACUGUUGGGAAGGCAUGAUUGGUUUUAAAUAUGAAUAUAUGAGAUUUGGGAGGGGGUCAGGGGUGGAAUGAUAUGGUUUGGCUCUGUGUCCCCACCCAAAUCUCAUCUUGUAGCUCCCAUAAUCCUCCCAUGUUGUGGGAGGGACCCAGUGGGAGAUGAUUGAAUCAUGAGGGCGGGUCUUUCUCAUGCUGUUCAUGAUCCCAUUCAUGUGAGAAAGACCCAUGUGAUCAUGAAUGGGUCUCACAAGAUCUGAUGGUGUUAAAAAUGGGAGUUUCUCUGCACAAGCUCUCUGCCUGCUGCCAUUCACAAAGGAUGUGACUUGCUUCUCCUUGCCUUCUGCUAUGAUUGUGAGGCCUCCCUAGCCAUGUGGAACUGUGAGUCCAAUUAA